GGGGGUGGUGGGGAAUAUUGCACAAUGGGGGAAACCCUGAUGCAGCCAUGCCGCGUGUGUGAAGAAGGCCUUCGGGUUGUAAAGCACUUUCAGCGAGGAGGAAAGGUUGGUAGCUAAUAUCUGCGAGCUGUGACGUUACUCGCAGAAGAAGCACCGGCUAACUCCGUGCCAGCAGCCGCGGUAAUUAA
rnacentral:rRNA from 1 species